AUCUCUUUCUCGUUCUUCCUGGCCUCGUGCACGUCCUUAACGCUGAGGAUCUGAGCCGACUUCUCGGCCUGGUUCUUGAGGGCCUACGAGAUUUUAACCAUCUGCUCGCGCGUCAGCUUUAGACUCUGGAUCAUUUUGGCUUCGACAGAGGCUUUGGACAUCAG
rnacentral:ribozyme from 1 species